rnacentral:misc_RNA from 1 species
UCGUAACAAGGUUUCCGUAGGUGAACCUGCGGAAGGAUCAUUACCGAGUGAGGGCCCUCUGGGUCCAACCUCCCACCCGUGUUUAUUUUACCUUGUUGCUUCGGCGGGCCCGCCUUAACUGGCCGCCGGGGGGCUUACGCCCCCGGGCCCGCGCCCGCCGAAGACACCCUCGAACUCUGUCUGAAGAUUGUAGUCUGAGUGAAAAUAUAAAUUAUUUAAAACUUUCAACAACGGAUCUCUUGGUUCCGGCAUCGAUGAAGAACGCAGCGAAAUGCGAUACGUAAUGUGAAUUGCAAAUUCAGUGAAUCAUCGAGUCUUUGAACGCACAUUGCGCCCCCUGGUAUUCCGGGGGGCAUGCCUGUCCGAGCGUCAUUGCUGCCCUCAAGCACGGCUUGUGUGUUGGGCCCCGUCCUCCGAUCCCGGGGGACGGGCCCGAAAGGCAGCGGCGGCACCGCGUCCGGUCCUCGAGCGUAUGGGGCUUUGUCACCCGCUCUGUAGGCCCGGCCGGCGCUUGCCGAUCAACCCAAAUUUUUAUCCAGGUUGACCUCGGAUCAGGUAGGGAUACCCGCUGAACUUAAGCAUAUCA